rnacentral:rRNA from 1 species
CAAUAGCGUAUAUUUAAGUUGUUGCAGUUAAAAAGCUCGUAGUUGGAUUUCGGGUGGGACGCAGCGGUCUCGCAUUGCGUUUGUACUGCUGCAGCCCUCCUUCUUGCCGGGGGCGGCCUCUCGGACUUCACUGUCUGGGGGUCAGAAUCGGCGAUGUUACUUUGAGUAAAUUAGAGUGUUCAAAGCAAGCUUACGCUCUGAAUAUAAUAGCAUGGGAUAACACGACAGGACUCUGGCCUAUCGUGUUGGUCUAUAGGACCAGAGUAAUGAUUAAGAGGGACAGUCGGGGGCAUUCGUAUUCCGUUGUCAGAGGUGAAAUUCUUGGAUUUACGGAAGACGAACAUCUGCGAAAGCAUUUGCCAAGGAUGUUUUCAUUGU